GACGAACGCUGGCGGCGUGCCUAACACAUGCAAGUCGAGCGAUGAAGCUUCCUUCGGGAAGUGGAUUAGCGGCGGACGGGUGAGUAACACGUGGGCAACCUGCCUCAAAGUGGGGAAUAGCCCUCCGAAAGGAGGAGUAAUACCGCAUAAUAUGAAGGAAUCGCAUGGUUUUUUCAUUUAAAGAUUUAUCGCUUUGAGAUGGGCCCGCGGCGCAUUAGCUAGUUGGUAAGGUAAUGGCUUACCAAGGCGACGAUGCGUAGCCGACCUGAGAGGGUGAUCGGCCACAUUGGAACUGAGACACGGUCCAGACUCCUACGGGAGGCAGCAGUGGGGAAUAUUGCGCAAUGGGGGAAACCCUGACGCAGCAACGCCGCGUGAGUGAUGAAGGUCUUCGGAUUGUAAAACUCUGUCUUUAGGGACGAUAAUGACGGUACCUAAGGAGGAAGCCACGGCUAACUACGUG
rnacentral:rRNA from 1 species